UACAGAGGUCCCAAGCGUUGUUCGGAUUCACUGGGCGUAAAGCGUGCGUAGGCGGUUUGUUAAGUCUGCUGUGAAAUCCCCGGGCUCAACCUGGGAAUGGCAGUGGAUACUGGCAAGCUAGAGUGUGUCAGAGGAUGGUGGAAUUCCCGGUGUAGCGGUGAAAUGCGUAGAGAUCGGGAGGAACAUCAGUGGCGAAGGCGGCCAUCUGGGACAACACUGACGCUGAGGCACGAAAGCGUGGGGAGCAAACAGG
rnacentral:rRNA from 1 species